GUCUACCACCAUACCACUCUGAACACACCCAAUCUCAUCUGAUCUCAGAAGCUAAAUAGGGUCGGGCCUGGUUUGUAUAAUAACUGGAUGGGAGAAA
ensembl:rRNA 5S_rRNA 5S ribosomal RNA